rnacentral:tRNA from 1 species
CCUUUGAUAGCUCAGUUGAUAGAGCGGAGGACUGUAGAUCCUUAGGUCGCUGGUUCGACUCCGGCUCGAAGGA